ACAAAGCUGAACUCAAAGAUUGAAUGA
rnacentral:piRNA from 1 species